GUUGUUUCUUCCCUGCUCCCGGAUCCACUGCUGUGGAGGACUCUCAGCUGCCAGACAGUUCAAAAAGCUUCAGGGAGUAAAACAAAAUGACCCUUGAAGGGUGACAAGGUCAUUCAAGAACCUGAAAGACCCUUCACGUGAAGAAAAAAUAAGCAUUUAUGCAGCUCCUACUAACUGUCAGGCAAACGGUGCUAAGUGUUUUGCUUUGUUUUUUUAAACACAUAUUCUCUCAUUUGAUCCUCACAAUAGCCCUGGGAGAUUGGCGUUGUUAUUUUACAGUUGAAUGGGACUGAUUGGAUGAAGUAUUUCUCAGUAUUGAGUCACAUGAUCCCUGUUCCUGAGCUGGGACCUUGGGGAGGUCAUUUACUCUCUUGGAGGAACGAACUUUGAACCUGAGAUGCAGGAAAUUGUAGGCGGUGACAUGACCUGUGGGAGGCAGCCAGCAUUGGUGACCAUUGGUCAAGGAUGGUUACAUGCUUUUAGUCUAUCCAAUGAGAAGGUUCAUGUCUUUUGCAUUUAAAUCCUGGGCAAGCUGGAAGCUGGUCAGGUUCCAGGAGUCGGGAUGGCUCUCACAAUUGGGGAAACUGAGGCAGGGAGGAUUAAGUGACUCGCCUAAGGUCACACAACUAGUAAGUAUCUGAGGCUGGAUUUGAACUCCGGUCUCCAGAGUCCAGGCCCAUCACUCUAUCCAUUGCACCAUCUAGCUGCAUCUUGCGAAAGGGAUUGGGCCUAUUCAUUUGGUACUUUAGAGUCAGGAGUAACAAACAGAUGAAAGGGGUGAAAAAGCAGAUUUCAGUUCUCACGGUCUUGUUCUUUUCCUUUUUUUUAAGGCGAUUGAUGUAGUCAUCAGUGUUGGACAUUCCAUAAAAUUAGGACUGUCAUAGCACCUACCCCUACCUCAGAUCAACUGCAAUGUUUGCAAAGUACUUAGCACAGCGCCUGCUACACGUUGAGGAAAUGGAGGCAAACAGCGGUGAAGUGCCCGGCCCAGAGUCACCCAGCUAGUAUUUAAGAAGUUGGGGUUCCUCCAUUCAUUGCUGGAGAAUGGCGUCUGGCAGCUGGAUGCUGGACGCUGGACGCUGGACGCUGGAUUCUUUGGGUCCUCCAGCCCUGGGACCAAUGUGGAUUCCUUGGAACCAGUAUACUUAUCUCUGUCUGACUGGAUAAUCUGAGACGAGAGUCCUGUCCAGUCAAUCUUACUCUCCCAUUAAUAAAAAUAUUAAAACUCUCUAAUCUCUCUCCUGCCUCAGUUUCUCCGGCAUUACAAGAGAAUCAUAGUUUUGUUUUGUUUUGUUUUUCUCUCUUUGUCCUUUUUCUUCCAUCCAUUAUUACUGGAAAUUUAGAAUAAAGGUAGGGAAGUACAGUCACCAGAUCUGGGGAAAGAUUAUCCCCAAACUUUGUUGUGGCUUCCAAGAAAGGUGGGUUACUCUCAGGGUCUGGUCAGGCUAAAGCCCAGGCUCCUGUUUGAGCUUCAGGGAUACUUCCCAAGGUCCUAGAGAAGUUCAGAGACACAGAGAACUCUGGAGUUCAUGGAUACAGCUCUUUAGCCAACAGUAAUUGCAUUCACCUCCCCAAAGUCUGGAGACUUAUACAUGCUACAAGCACCAGAUUCAGGGUCAGAC